ACUUUCCUGAAGAUUGCAUCAUGUCGUUCUUUUUCGUUUGCGGAGUUGUUUGCUGCGGAGUUGUCAUCUCGUCUAGUGCUUCGUGCAGGAAUCCAUUUCUGAGCGUUUUGCCCUGGGGUUUUCCCCAGGAACUCGCUGAUUAAUAAAAAUCAGCAAAAACACUUAUUGUCACACACCAAAUGUUAAACAUCAUAAAUUCUCUUACAUAGAAAAAAGUAAUUUAGGCUUUCUCGACUUCCCCUCCAAGAAAGCCAACUCUGGAAAUUAGUGCUUCUGGAACAGUAGUGUGCAUCAGAAUCACCUGAAGGGCUUGUUAAUACAGAUUGCUGGGCCCACCCAGUUUCUGCUUUCACUGGUUUGGGGUGGGGCCUAAGAAUUUGCAUGUCUAGUAAAUAUUCCCAGUAUCAACGCUGUGGAACCACAUUUUGAAAAUUAACAUUUUUUUUAAGAGAUGGGGUCUUGCUGUCUUGCCCAGGCUGAUCUCAAACUCUUGGGUUCAAGCGACCCUCCCACCUUUGCCUCCCAAAGUUGUUGUUGGGAUUACAGGUGUGAGCCACUGUACCGGCUGCCAAUAAACACUUUCUAAUGUUUUAUUGACCAUGUUGAGUGCGUACUACUUUACUAAUAACAAUCAGUAGGAAUAAUAGCUACUGAUUUCAGAAAAACACAUUAGUAAAAAUAACCCAAAGAAUAAGGAAAAAAAUAACAGCUUGAGAGUCUCAACUCACUUAGAAAAUUUGGCUAAGGAAUAAUCAGGAACUGAUAUUCUGUAUUUAGGAUACCCAACAGAAACCACGCCCCUUAAGAUUAGGAGUCUUGAUGGCUAUUGCCUUAAUUAUACCGUCACAUGGGAAAGACUUUUAAUCUGUUAAAUAAAGCUCACUGUUUUUUUACAUGUUUACCACACCUGUUGCCAGCAGUCUUGGGAUAGUGCUGAGGUGCACCCCUACUUCCUCCUCCGCCCGAAGAAGCACUAUUUAAAAGAAAAAAAUUGUUUACUGUAUCCCAACUAUGUCUCACUCAAAAAGAAUAAGCAUCUAUUUUGUGUUUUGCUUUGCUUGUAGAGAUGGGGGUCUCGCUAUUUUGCCCAGACUGGAGCCAGGCCUGUAUUUUAGUGCUUGUAUAUUAUGCUACAAAUGAAGACUGAACUCGGACCCAAAGGAAAGGCAAAUAAUUGAUUUUAUUUAUUCUUCAGAUGGCAGUUCUUAGAAGGCUGUCAAUGAAAACUUAAGAACUUUUCAAAUGAAAAUUGCAGCCCAUUAAGUCGGACUUAUUUGCUGUGUUAACUACUUUUUGAGACUGGCCUUUUCAAAAGGAUUCCCCAAAAUAAAUCUACAAGUACCUGAAACGAGAAGCACCCCCUUCUGCAAUCGCACUCUCCACUUUGGCGGCUUGACAACGAAGAAUCUUCAAAAGAAUAAUAUUAAUAGAUGGGGUGGGGAGGGGAGGGGACAGGAGAAAUGAAAUACCUGGAACGAGAAAGAGCACCAAAAUUAGACACUGCUAACAUACAGAUCUAUAAGCCUUCAUUCAAUUACAACGUAUUUCAGAUCCUGGCACUGUCACUGCAUUGCAGAUCUGUAAGACUAACCUAAAAUGUACUCAAAACACUGACAAUUACAUUUUGUUUAGCCACCUGGAAAUUCCCCGGUGUUCAAGGAUGCAAAGAGACUUCGUAGAACACAAGAGCAUUUUAAACGGCUCAGAACGAAUCUUUUGAAAAAGCCACAUUCUACUAUCUUUAAAACUGAGCACUGAGAUCAAUAGAAAAGUCUAACUACAGACACGAGCAACAUCACGUGGAAAAUGUCUGCCCUAGGAAUUUUUACUGCCUUGACGAGGCCAGCGACUAGAUGAGGUCUCUCCGAAAGCUCUUCAGCAGUUUUCCCCUGUCCACCCUUUCGCCUCCUCCCCGUGGAGAGCUCGUGGAAAGACGCGCGAGAGGGGGCCGGGUGUACAGGACUAGCACUUGCAGGCGGAAGACCAGGGCCACAACAUGGCAGCAGGAACCUCCGCCCCGUUUUUCCCUUCCUGGGAACAAAAGAGCGGAGCAUUCCUCCCACCCAGGCGCAAGUUAGGGAAGUGCUUCCGACAACCUCCCCGCGAGGCCCGGGUCGCUCGACGGGGAGGAGCAGCUGAGGCCACCCCCGCCAGCCCGGCGCCCAGCUCUUUGUUCUCCAAGCAGGAAGGCGGCCUCCUGCCCACCCGCCGCCUCCAAGCGGGCCCCCUCCUGCACCAUAAAUCCCCCCGGGACUGACAACCGCCUCGCCACGGCCUCCUCUGCUGACAAAAGGGGCAGAAAUCAUCACUCUCUCUUUCCUCCCCGACGAAGGGCAGCCCCUGCCGACUCCAGGUCCUACACACCUCCCCGCCGGGAGGCCAGGCUCCGGGACGCCUGCGGUUCCCUGGUCCCGCGCCAACGGCCUGGCCUUCCCUGCCGGCCCGCGUGCCUCCCGCCACGGCGCUAGCGGUCCGAGCCACGCUCCCUCGCCGUCCGAGCACAGCCGUGCCUCGGUCCGCCACGGCCUCGUCCCUGCAGGCGUCGGCCAUCCGGCCAUGACCGCACGGCGGCCUGGCCAACACUGACGUUUUCCUUCUACUCCGUCAGCAACAGGAAGAGAGAACAAAAGCCAAGACUUUCCAGGUAUCUGAAGCGCAGAGGAAAUGCUAAAAAAGGGUCGCCCCACCCGGCUCCGCCUGCGGCCGCCAUUUUGUACCACUCGAGAAGAAGCGACCAGGGACGGCGGCCAUUUUAGAGCGCUCCACUCGGCGGCGGCAGCGGCUCAACUCACCUUCACCGAGAACUCAGCAGCUGCCACCGCAGCUGCCUCCUCAGGAUCCGGUCGUCGGGGAUAGGGAAGGGAGGGGAAAGGGGAACGGAAAACAAAAAAAAGGGGGAGGGAAGGGGGAGGAAGGAGUCGGGGACGGCCUCAAACUCAGCUCAGAGGAGUCGCUGCUGCAGCCGCCACUCGGUACCCGCUGCCACCUCCAUAGAGCUCCGACUCACUGCUGGCGCUAAGGCGUGUCUGAAGCCGAACUUAUCACUCUUGGGGCAGCCGAACCCACCAGAGUCUCCCCGAAUGGCUCCUUCGCCGCCCAAUCAGCGGCCCGGUUGCCGUCUGCCACCAAUCCGCGCAGGGCAGCGAGGAGGAGCCACAGGGCUGAGCUCGGUUGCGGCGCAGCCCCGCCGCAGUGCGCAAAGCCAUAUUCGCGAAGUCUCUGAGGCUGAGCCAGUGGCGUAAGGGGCGCCGAGCGCUGUCGAGAUGAGGGUUGCGUGCGUAAAGCCGGAGAGCCCUUUUGAGUCUGCGUUGGCGUGGCUGCUGCUUCUUGCUCCAGUCCCUUUGUUCACUGAGUCCAUAUGCCAUGCUCCAGUUGUAUCAUCCCCUUUUCCCUCGACCUCGUUUUCUCACCGGGAAUAUGGGAAGAAAACGCACCCUUACCUCCCCCGAACCCUGUGCGUGGCGAGUGAGCAUUGCUUUUCUUGGCGCCCCUUGGAGCUGUGGCUGCCCUCGCGUGCCUGGCCUCUCCCGGGGCUGAGCCCUUCGGGUUGAGGCCUGGAGCCCCCGGGCGCAGCGCCGGGACACUACCCGGCUCCAGGUCCUCGGCUUCGGCAGCCUUAGGGAACCCAGAAAGUAGUGGGGAGGAGGCGAGACGUGCGCCCGGAUGCCAAAGGGGAGCUUCAUUCAGCUCCUUAUUGGCCCACCCCCUGCAGAGUGAAUGAGAAAGUGAUGAAAGGAAGGGGUUGAUUUUCUUCGAACCGCACAGAAGAAGCUGCUUUUCCCAUAGGAAUGUCCGGCUGGCGGUCACCGAGGAAAACACCCUGUGUGUCAGACUUCCGCGGGUGUUUGGAGGAUUUCGAAUUGCUAGCUCCUGUUUUUUUUUGUUUUUUGUUUGUUUAAGUGCACGUUAAACAUUGUCAGUUGUGUAUUUUCAUUUUAUUUAAGGUUCACCAUAAGAAAUAGGAUUAAGCUUUUCAAAGCCGGCAAGUUGAACUAUUUAUACUUACCAGGUAAUGUAUUGAUGAGUACCUUAUUCCAUCGUUUGCGACAUUGUAGCUAUACUAAAAUGGAGUCAUACUUCCAUAAACUUAAACAACAAAAAUGUCCCCAUCUCCAUUUUAACAUGUAGUACUUUUACAGUGUAUAGUCAAAGGCAAGAAUGUGUGUGUUUUAACAUGAAUGACUUUUAAAGUGUUCAGUAAGAGGCAGGAUUUUCAAAGACCCAAACUUAACCUUUGAUGUGUCAAAACAGCUCUUGGUAUUAGAGCACCUGGUCCUUAAUACAAUUUUCCGGAAAAUUGCAGUUUUUCCUACGACAUUUAAAUGUAAUAGAAGGCUGUGGUGUGGCUCUGAAGGUUUUUAACACAAUUCCAACAUCUGUAGAUCUUUGCUAUAGAAUAGUCACCAUUCCCUACUUUACUGUUACUACACUUAUUGCU
rnacentral:lncRNA from 1 species